AAACUUUCAACAACGGAUCUCUUGGUUCUGGCAUCGAUGAAGAACGCAGCGAAAUGCGAUAAGUAAUGUGAAUUGCAGAAUUCAGUGAAUCAUCGAAUCUUUGAACGCACAUUGCGUCCCGCCAGUAUUCUGGCGGGCAUGCCUGUUCGAGCGUCAUU
rnacentral:rRNA from 1 species